AUUGAACGCUGGCGGCAUGCCUUACACAUGCAAGUCGAACGGCAGCACGGACUUCGGUCUGGUGGCGAGUGGCGAACGGGUGAGUAAUGCAUCGGAACGUGCCAUUGAGUGGGGGAUAACGUAGCGAAAGUUGCGCUAAUACCGCAUAUUCUGUGAGCAGGAAAGCAGGGGACCGCAAGGCCUUGCGCUCUUUGAGCGGCCGAUGUCAGAUUAGCUAGUUGGUGAGGUAAAGGCUUACCAAGGCGACGAUCUGUAGCGGGUCUGAGAGGAUGAUCCGCCACACUGGAACUGAGACACGGUCCAGACUCCUACGGGAGGCAGCAGUGGGGAAUUUGGACAAUGGGGGCAACCCUGAUCCAGCCAUGCCGCGUGAGUGAAGAAGGCCUUCGGUUGU
rnacentral:rRNA from 1 species